rnacentral:lncRNA from 1 species
AUGUGCAGUUCAGACCUCCAGCAGCUUCCAGGAGGGGGCUUGGUCAGCCAUGGCGAUGCCCAGGUGAGGGUCCCCUGGGGAGGGUGGCAGGAGGAGAGCUGGAGAGGGAGGGACAGCAUCCCCAUGGGUCUCCUCCCACCUCGAUCGGAGAGUCCGCAGUGGCAGCAUGAUUUCAAUCAAAGCAGGUACCAAGUAGACCCAGCAACAAAUUAUGACAAAUCUCCUCUUGUACAACAUCCAUCCACAACUUCAGGUCACGUUUCAAUGAGAUUCAGGGGUUCGAGGAAGAUGAGUCUAUUCCCUGUAGGAGAGGCUGCCCUGGGAAAUCUGGGCUUUUCUGAGGACGACAUCAGGAAUGAAAUGGAAAAUGAGGAAGAGAACAUGAUCAAAGAACUUGUCGCCAUGUCAACAAGGGACAGGAUCAAAGCCAUCCGGGACCUUCCUAUGAGCUUCAAUGACAAGAAACACAUCAGGUAUUUUUACUUCCUGUCACCAUCCAGGUCAAAGGUUAGCCAUUGGUUUUACUAG